GUCGGCCUGCGCGGAAGAUGUAACGGGGCUAAACCAUGCACCGAAGCUGCGGCAGCGACGCUUAUGCGUUGUUGGGUAGGGGAGCGUUCUGUAAGCCUGUGAAGGUGUACUGUGAGGUAUGCUGGAGGUAUCAGAAGUGCGAAUGCUGACAUAAGUAACGAUAAAGCGGGUGAAAAGCCCGCUCGCCGGAAGACCAAGGGUUCCUGUCCAACGUUAAUCGGGGCAGGGUGAGUCGACCCCUAAGGCGAGGCCGAAAGGCGUAGUCGAUGGGAAACAGGUUAAUAUUCCUGUACUUGGUGUUACUGCGAAGGGGGGACGGAGAAGGCUAUGUUGGCCGGGCGACGGUUGUCCCGGUUUAAGCGUGUAGGCUGGUUUUCCAGGCAAAUCCGGAAAAUCAAGGCUGAGGCGUGAUGACGAGGCACUACGGUGCUGAAGCAACAAAUGCCCUGCUUCCAGGAAAAGCCUCUAAGCAUCAGGUAACAUCAAAUCGUACCCCAAACCGACACAGGUGGUCAGGUAGAGAAUACCAAGGCGCUUGAGAGAACUCGGGUGAAGGAACUAGGCAAAAUGGUGCCGUAACUUCGGGAGAAGG
rnacentral:rRNA from 1 species